UACGUAGGGUGCAAGCGUUGUCCGGAAUUAUUGGGCGUAAAGAGCUCGUAGGCGGCUUGUCGCGUCGUUCGUGAAAACCUGGGGCUCAACCCCAGGCUUGCGGUCGAUACGGGCAGGCUGGAGUUCGGUAGGGGAGACUGGAAUUCCUGGUGUAGCGGUGAAAUGCGCAGAUAUCAGGAGGAACACCGGUGGCGAAGGCGGGUCUCUGGGCCGAUACUGACGCUGAGGAGCGAAAGCGUGGGGAGCGAACAGG
rnacentral:rRNA from 1 species